UACAGAGGGUGCGAGCGUUAAUCGGAAUUACUGGGCGUAAAGCGUGCGUAGACGGUAGCGUAAGUCAGAUGUGAAAGCCCCGGGCUCAACCUGGGAACUGCAUUUGAGACUGCUCUGCUCGGGUGCGGAAGAGGGAAGCGGAAUUUCCGGUGUAGCGGUGAAAUGCGUAGAUAUCGGAAGGAACACCAGUGGCGAAAGCGGCUUCCUGGUCCGACACCGACGUUCAGGUACGAAAGCGUGGGGAGCAAACAGG
rnacentral:rRNA from 1 species